GACGGGGAGGGAUAGGAGAGAGGCUUCGCUUCACAAACCCCCCCUAAGGCAGCUGAUCCUGGUGUUCCAGCAGCACUUAUGGAAACAGCUAGCUGGGCCGACAGGAAAGAGCAAGAAUAAAAAAUCCCGGGGUGGUAGCAAGGUGUAGCAGAAGCUGCGGAGCUGACGGGGAUAGGUGACCGGAGCAGGCAAGGAUAGGUCUCUUGUUUAGUGAGGUAGGGUGUUAAUAAGGUCUCCGUCCAAUGGCUGCUCUUAUGAGCAAAGGCUCACCCACAGAAAGGACGAGGCAGUACAGGACUGGGCUCCAGCAGUGACUGGGAAUUCUCUUCACAGUAAUCCACAGCUUGCCUGUCCUCCAAAACCCAAAGCAAGACCCCCUGCAGCUCCUCCAGCCCCGUCUUUUGCCUGUCCAAAUCUCCAGGUAUCCCCUCCCCUAUCCCCUGAGUCUAGCCACUCUUGUUUUUCUUAGGUACCCAGAAGUACCCAAUAGUUAGUUUUCUAGCAACUUGUGGGAAAAAAUUCUGUAAGUACGAAAGAAAAAACCAAAACCAACGCCCAACAAUGUCUAGAUGUUCAAUAAACACAAGACAUGCGGUGUGUCACAGGAAGUAUCAACAGAUGGGAAAUACAGAGUAAGCAGAGAAAAGGUUGCAGCAGCUGAUCUACACUGGAGAUCUACAAGGA